GACUGACACUCCUACGGGAGGCAGCAGUGGGAAUAUUGGGACAAUGGGCGAAAGCCUGAUCCAGCCAUGCCGCGUGUGUGAAGAAGGCCUUCGGGUUGUAAAGCACUUUCAGCGAGGAAGAACGCUUGUGGGUUAAUACCCCGCAAGAAGGACAUCACUCGCAGAAGAAGCACCGGCUAACUCCGUGCCAGCAGCCGCGGUAAUACGGAGGUGCAAGCGUUAAUCGGAAUUACUGGGCGUAAAGCGCGCGUAGGCGGCUUGAUAAGCCGGUUGUGAAAGCCCCGGGCUCAACCUGGGAACGGCAUCCGGAACUGUCAGGCUAGAGUGCAGGAGAGGAAGGUAGAAUUCCCGGUGUAGCGGUGAAAUGCGUAGAGAUCGGGAGGAAUACCAGUGGCGAAGGCGGCCUUCUGGACUGACACUGACGCUGAGGUGCGAAAGCGUGGGUAGCAAACAGGAUUAGAUACCCUGGUAG
rnacentral:rRNA from 1 species